CGGGACGCCAGAGGCUGAGUCACCGCUGCGGCGCGGCGGGCACGGCGGGCGAGCAGAUAAAAGAGGGAUUAUUACCCCCAUUUGACAGAGGAUACUGAAUCACAGAGAUGAAGUGAUUUACCCAAAAUGCAAACUCAAUAAGGUCCUUGACUUUCCUGUUCACUGAUGUAGCCCUAGGACUUCAAACAGAUGAGAAAACCGACACAGAGAGAGGCAAAGGAACUUUCUCAAAGGCAUAAUGAAUUUUCUCAGGCAAGUAUUUUCCUUUCACGAUUUUAUAGAUGGAGACAGUAAAGCUCAGAUAAGUGAAGUAACUUGCAUAACAUCACACAGCUAGGAAGUAGGCAAACCUGAAUCUGAACCUAACUCUUUUGACCUCAAACCCUUUACCCUUUUUACCUGUGCUAUAGGUAAAGGACAGGCAAGUGGUCUGUGAUGAGAACACUGCUAGUGUAGGGAGUUUUGUUCCCUGGGACAGAGAACAUGUCUUGUCCUUUAUUGUUUCCACUCUAGUCCCCAGGUCAGGGUCCUUUUGUUCUGGGAGCUCAGUACUUGUGACUGAUGACAGUCAUGUUGCCAGGAAAAUUGCCUUCUGCCUUCGUUUUGGCUGCUAAUUUCCACCUCUCUCCAUGAACUUGGAUGUUU